rnacentral:rRNA from 1 species
CCUACGGGUGGCAGCAGUAGGGAAUAUUGCUCAAUGGGGGAAACCCUGAAGCAGCAAAGCCGCGUGGAGGAUGAAGGUUUUCGGAUUGUAAACUCCUUUUGUUCGAGGAGCUAAUGACGGUAUCUAACGAAUAAGCACCGGCUAACUCCGUGCCAGCAGCCGCGGUCAUCCGGAGGGUUCACGCGUUAAUCGGAAUCACUGGGCGUAAAGGGGGCGUAGGGAGGAUAGAAAGUCAGAUGGGAAAUCCUAUGGCUUAACCAUAGAAGAGCAGUUGAAACUGGGAGUCUUGAGUAUGGGAGAGGUAGGUGGAAUGCGUGGUGUAGGGGUGAAAUGCAUAGAUAUCACGAGGAAUACGGAUUGCGAAGGCAGCCUACUAGAACGUAACUGACGCUGAGGCACGAAAGCGUGGGGAUCGAACAGGAUUAGAUACCCGAGUAGUC